GCGGAAGUAGCAUAGUGGUAAUGCUCCAGCCUUCCAAGCUGAUUAUGCGGGUUCGAUUCCCGUCUUCCGCU
rnacentral:tRNA from 1 species